UACGGGGGGGGCAAGCGUUGUUCGGAAUUACUGGGCGUAAAGGGCUCGUAGGUGGCCAACUAAGUCAGACGUGAAAUCCCUCAGCUUAACUGGGGAACUGCGUCUGAUACUGGAUGGCUUGAGUUUGGGAGAGGGAUGCGGAAUUCCAGGUGUAGCGGUGAAAUGCGUAGAUAUCUGGAGGAACACCGGUGGCGAAGGCGGCAUCCUGGACCGGCAUUGACGCUGAGGCGCGAAGGCCAGGGGAGCAAAUGGG
rnacentral:rRNA from 1 species